ACUCGCAGGGCUCUCACUGCUCGCGGUGCGGCAGCCGCGCGCGGACUCCGCUGCGCCUCCGAGGGGGCCAGGCACGCGGUCAAGAUCUGUGGCCACUGGUUCCCAUGGUUUCGAGGCACCAUGAGGCUCGCUGGCUCCUGGAAACUUUGGCUUUGGGCAGCACUUCUCCUGCUUCCUGCUUCCACUUCCGUGACGGUUAGGGACAAGCCAGAAAAGCAGUGUCCUGUACUGAGAACAGAGGAGCAUCAGUUUACACAAGACAAUGGAGAUAAACUUGAAGUUUCAGGUUUUGACCUAGGAGAGAGCUUUUCUAUGAGACGUGUGUUUUGUGAAGGUGAUAAAACCUGUUUCAAAUUGGGAAGUUCACUUCUUAUUAGAGACACCAUGUUGAACUUCACCAACUUAAAAUCUACUGUGACUUGAACUUCAUAGCUCAAGAAACUUGUUGUGAGAUGUCAGACACUAAGUGCCCAGAGCAGGUUGGCUUUGGAAGUACUGCAUCUUUAUCAGUACCUGCGUAUGCCAGUCGAAUGUCUGCAUUUCUGCCAGCAAAGCAGGAACUAACAGACCAGUGCCAGUGUAUUCCAGAGAAGGGAGAAGCAGGAUUACAGGGAGCUCCAGGCUCACCGGGCCAGAAAGGAGACAAAGGACAGCAGGUAAGACACCAUCCAGUGCUGUCAGGAUGCAAGAGGAUUUGUCCAAAAGUGACUUUAAACUUGUGUCCAGCUCAUUUUUCUAGUCCCAUAUAAAUGCACAUUUCCAUAAAAAAGGCUGUCAAGGGCUGUAUUUAAGUGCUGUGCUGACCACUGAAAUAAAGAAGACUGAUAUCAGCAUGCAAGUCUGCUUUGGAGAAUCCUAUUGAAGGCUGGCCUAAAAUAUGGAAAGAUUAGGAAAUCUAGAUCUUUGUACCUGUUAAACCACAAGCAAAACCGCAAAGCAAGAAAGUUUGUUUUUCAGUGGUGUUGUAGCUUUCUUUAGCAUUCUCUUCUCCAAAUGCUUGAUGAACUUCUGAUGCUCUUGUCUGCUGAUAGGUCUCCACUGAAGAUUUUUCCUUACCCUUUAUUCAGGGGUGUAAACACCUUUGUUGAACACUUUCUCUGCGUAAGGCCUAGUGUUGGGUGUUAGAGGGGGUAGACAGAAGGGGAUCCAUUCCCUUUUCUCCAUGAUUUUAAAUCUGGGAGAAGACAGAAGACCUUAUCAGACCGCAUGUGUUAGGUGCUGUAGGAGCAUUUCAGGGGUCCUCAGGGAACUGUCUGGGGAGACUGGGGAGAGUUUCCUGGAGGAGAUGGUAAGUGAAAGGACCUGUGAGAAUCUGAUUCUAGCCAGUAUCCACACCUAGAGACUGCCUUUCCCUUCUCCCUAUCCCUUUUAUAACUGAACUAUUCAGUUCCCCACUCUUUUGAGUCAUGUCUUUUUUUCAACCAGUUUUUUUUUUUAAUUGAAGUACAGUCAGUUUACAGUGUUGUGUUAGCCUCAGGUGCACAGCAAAGUGACUGAAUUAUACAGGCAUAUAUAUUCUUUUUUCAGAUUCUUUUUUUUUUUAAUAUCCAGCAGAUACUCAUUUUUUUAUUUUAAUGAUUUUUAUUUUUUUCCAUUGUGAGAUUCUUUUCCAUUAUAGUUUAUUACAAGACAUUGGAUGUAGUUCCCUGUGCUAUACAGUAGGUCCUUGUUAGUGUUCUAUUUUAUAUAUAGUAAUAUGUAUCUGUUAAUCCCAAACAUGUAUCUUCCCACCUCCUCUAUCCCCUCUAGUAACCAUAAGUUUGUUUUCUAUGAGUCAUGUCUCUUGUUAGCUCACUAGGUAGAUUAAUUUCUGCCAAGGUUAGAGUUGGUUAUGUUCUUACUAUCUUUCCAAGGUAAAAUAGUUUAAAUUCUUUUCAUGCCUUAACUUGGAAAUCCAAAGCUUUAAAUUGUUUAUAUAAUCUACAUGGACUCCUUAUUUUAAAAGGCUCAUAAGCAGAUUAAUUUAUGCCAAGAUUAGGAGUUGAUUAUAUCUUUCCAUGGAAGAUACAAUAGUAGACUUUCCUUUGGGAUCAUAGACCAAGAAUGGAGAGUUCCCUGGUGGCCUAGUGAUUAAGGAUUCAGCUUUGUCACUGCUAAGUUACCUGAAGUUCCCAUGGAAAAUAAAGAACUCAUAGAAAACAAACUUAUUAAGCACCUCAGUGGCUUCUGCUUGAGAGGAACUGUUUGGGGUAGGAUGGGUGUUUAUUUUUAAAGGCUGAGAAAUGACUGAUUUCACCAAGCUGCACAACAAGCUUCAACCAAGCCAUUCUUGGUUGGGUUCUUUUUUGGCCAAACCCACAACAUACAGAAGUUCCCAGGCCAGGGCUCAAACAUCAUCCACCUUAUAAACAAUAAUAUUCAGUAUUAUUUAUGUGUGGUCUUUGGUCAGGUUACUUCCACUUGUAAUAUCUUAUUUUGUCCUUAUCACCUAAGAAUGUAAAUCUAAUAUUUGUAUCCUCAUUUUGCAACUGAGAGAACCGUGCUUUCAAAAUCAUUAUAAUACUGAAGUGCACUUUUUAUUAUGUGAAAGCUUAAAAUAAUUGAGCAAUAUCUAGUUCUAAAGACUAUUUUUAUUAAUUAAUUAAUUUAUUUAUUUAUUUAUUGGCCCUGCACUCAGCAUGCAGAAGUUCUGAGGCCAGGGUUCUAAAGGCUAUUUAAAUCAAACUAAACAUUAAAAAUUACAGCAAUCUGGAGUUCCCAUCAUGGCGCAGUGGUUAAUGAAUCUGACUAGCAUCCACAAGGACGCAGGUUUAAUCCCUGGCCUUACUCAGUGGGUUAAGGAUCUGGCAUUUCCGUGUGCUGUGGUAUAGGUUGCAGACUCAUCUUGGAUCCUGUGUUGCUGUGGCUGUGGCAUAGGCCGGCAGCUAUAGCUCCAGUCUGACCCGUAGCCUGGGAAACUCUAUAUGCCAUGGUUGCGGCCCUAAAAAGAAAAAAAAAAAA
rnacentral:lncRNA from 1 species